rnacentral:lncRNA from 1 species
GCUCUGAGUAGGUGAGCAACUUGCAUCUUAAGGAAGAGAAAAUCAAGCUAGAUGUCAAGGGUGCUAUUGUUAAGACCAAUACUAAUGAAAAAGGACAGAUAAACAGAAAGAGACUAGCGUUGCCCAGUUUUUACCAAAGAAGCUCAUUCUGAACUAACGUUAUCAGUAAUAUAAACCAAAUGGGAUUCCUGAGAGGGUUCUAAAUUCUUUACUCAAUGAUGUCAUUUGGAGAGCUUUGACUGAAACCCUAACUUUUUCAGGGAAUCUAAUUCAUGCUCUUCAUCUGUCAAUUCAAGACAGGACAAUGCAUCACCUUUAAUGGUCUCUGAACCUACACAGAACCUGAUUCCCCAGUCUCUAUCUUGUGUUCAUAAAAGAGCUGCCUUUGUCUUGGUCAUGCUCAGAGAAGAGAAACCAGCAAUUAUACGCUCCAGGUGUUUGCAUCUCUUCCCAGUGUAUGAGCUCACACUUUGAACAGAAAAAGUGAUGGAGCAGAUCAUAAAAUAUUUCCCUGAACUUAAGCUAGCAUAUGCUAUGCGA